GGGGUAUAGCUCAGUUGGGAGAGCACCUGCCUUGCACGCAGGGGGUCAAGGGUUCGAGUCCCUUUAUCUCC
rnacentral:tRNA from 1 species